AGCGAACGCUGGCGGCAGGCCUAACACAUGCAAGUCGAACGAACCCUUCGGGGUUAGUGGCGGACGGGUGAGUAACACGUGGGAACGUGCCUUUAGGUUCGGAAUAACUCAGGGCAACUUGUGCUAAUACCGAAUGUGCCCUUCGGGGGAAAGAUUUAUCGCCUUUGGAGCGGCCCGCGUCUUAUUAGCUAGUUGGCGAGGUAAUGGCUCACCAAGGCUACGAUCAGUAGCUGGUCUGAGAGGAUGACCAGCGACAUUGGGACUGAGACACGGCCCAAACUCCUACGGGAGGCAGCAGUGGGGAAUCUUGCGCAAUGGGCGAAAGCCUGACGCAGCCAUGCCGCGUGGAUGAUGAAAGUCUUAGGAUUGUAAAAUCCUUUCACCGGUGAAGAUAAUGACUGUAGCCGGAGAAGAAGCCCCGGCUAACUUCGUGCCAGCCGCCGCUGUAACAC
rnacentral:rRNA from 1 species